AAAUAUAUAUGUAUUUUAUCAUUUACUCCAGUGUCUUCCUACUGAGUAUUAUUUGUAAUACUCACACCCACUAUAAUCUCACAGGUUGAUUUGAGGCAUGGCGGCGGUUUAGCAUAGUGGCAAGUGCUCAGCAAUCUGAAAAAAACUUUCAACUUUCUAGUAAAAUUUUCAAUUUAUGUAAACGCAUUAUGAAUGAUUAGAUGGCACUUUUAAAAAUGUUUAAACAUCAGUUUCGUUCAGUUUUAUAUGUUAUUCAUGUCAACCAUAAUUUGGAAACUUUGGAAUGACUAUGACCGAAGUUUAUUUCCU
rnacentral:lncRNA from 1 species